rnacentral:rRNA from 1 species
UGCGUAACGCGUAUGCAACCUACCUGUAACAGGGGGAUAACACUUAGAAAUAGGUGCUAAUACCGCAUAAGCGCACAGUAUCGCAUGAUACAGUGUGAAAAACUCCGGUGGUACAGGAUGGACCCGCGUCUGAUUAGCUGGUUGGCGGGGUAACGGCCCACCAAGGCGACGAUCAGUAGCCGGCCUGAGAGGGUGAACGGCCACAUUGGGACUGAGACACGGCCCAAACUCCUACGGGAGGCAGCAG